AUUGAACGCUGGCGGCAGGCCUAACACAUGCAAGUCGAGCGGUUGAAGGGAGCUUGCUCCUGGAUUCAGCGGCGGACGGGUGAGUAAUGCCUAGGAAUCUGCCUGGUAGUGGGGGAUAACGUCCGGAAACGGGCGCUAAUACCGCAUACGUCCUGAGGGAGAAAGUGGGGGAUCUUCGGACCUCACGCUAUCAGAUGAGCCUAGGUCGGAUUAGCUAGUUGUUGGGGUAAAGGCCUACCACGGCGACGAUCCGUAACUGGUCUGAGAGGAUGAUCAGUAACACUGGAACUGAGACACGGUCCAGACUCCUACGGGAGGCAGCAGUGGGGAAUAUUGGACAUGGGGCGAAAGCCUGAUCCAGCCAUGCCGCGUGUGUGAAGAAGGUCUUCGGAUGUUAAAGCAUGUUAAGUUGGGAGGAAGGGCAGUAAGUUAAUAACUUGCUGUUGUGACGGUACCAACAGAAUAGGCACCGGCUAACUUCGUG
rnacentral:rRNA from 1 species